GAUUGAGACAGGGCCCAGUUCGUAUGUGAGGCAGCAGUGGGGAAUAUUGCACAAUGGGCGAAAGCUGAAUGCAGCGAGCCUUCGUGAGGGAUGACGGCCUUCGGGUUGUAAACCUCUUUCAGCAGGGACGAAGCGCAAGUGACGGUACCUGCAGAAGAAGCCCCGGCUAACUACGUGCCAGCAGCCGCGGUAAUACGUAGGGGGCAAGCGUUGUCCGGAAUUAUUGGGCGUAAAGAGUUCGUAGGCGGUUUGUUGAGUCGUUUGUGAAAACCAGCAGGCUCAACCGUGAGGGCCGUUGGAUACGGGGAAAACUUGAGUACUGCAGGGGAGAGUGGAAUUCCAUGUGUAGCGGUGAAAUGCGCAGAGAUAUGGAGGAACACCAGUGGCGAAGGCGACUUUCUGGUCUGUAACUGACGCUGAUGUGCGAAAGCGUGGGGAUCAAACAGGAUUAGAUACCCUGGUAGUCCACGCCGUAAACGAUGAGUGCUAAGUGUUAGGGGGUUUCCGCCCCUUAGUGCUGCAGCUAACGCAUUAAGCACUCCGCCNGGGANNNGNNC
rnacentral:rRNA from 1 species